rnacentral:rRNA from 1 species
GACGAACGCUGGCGGCGUGCCUAAUACAUGCAAGUCGAACGCAGUGGGGACGGGUGAGUAACACGUGGGUAACCUCCCAUCAGAGGGGAUAACACUUGGAAACAGGCGCUAAACCGUUACUGACUGAUGGACUCGCGGUACAUUAGCUGGUUGGUGAGGUAACGGCUCACCAAGGCUACGAUGCAUAGCCGACCUGAGAGGGUGAUCGGCCACACUGGGACUGAGACACGGCCCAGACUCCUACGGGAGGCAGCAGUGGGGAAUCUUCGACAAUGGACGAAAGUCUGACGGAGCAACGCCGCGUGAGUGAAGAAGGUUUUCGGGUCGUAAAACUCUGUUGUUAGAGAGGCGGUAACUAACCAGAAAGGGACGGCUAACUACGUGCCAGCAGCCGCGGUAAUUC